rnacentral:rRNA from 1 species
UACGGAGGGGCUAGCGUUGUUCGGAAUUACUGGGCGUAAAGCGCACGUAGGCGGCUUUGUAAGUUAGAGGUGAAAGCCCGGGGCUCAACUCCGGAAUUGCCUUUAAGACUGCAUCGCUAGAAUUGUGGAGAGGUAAGUGGAAUUCCGAGUGUAGAGGUGAAAUUCGUAGAUAUUCGGAAGAACACCAGUGGCGAAGGCGACUUACUGGACACAUAUUGACGCUGAGGCACGGAAAGCGUGGGGAGCAAACACGG